AAGGAGUUAGUUAAAAUAUAACAUUAGAGUGUCAAUCUAAAAUAACUAAAAACUAGUACACCUUG
rnacentral:tRNA from 1 species